UACGAAGGGGGGCUAGCGUUGUUCGGAAUUACUGGGCGUAAAAGCGCACGUAGGCGGAUCGAUCAGUCAGGGGGUGAAAUCCCAGAGCUCAACUCUGGAACUGCCUUUGAUACUGUCGAUCUAGAGUAUGGAAGAGGUGAGUGGAAUUCCGAGUGUAGAGGUGAAAUUCGUAGAUAUUCGGAGGAACACCAGUGGCGAAGGCGGCUCACUGGUCCAUUACUGACGCUGAGGUGCGAAAGCGUGGGGAGCAAACAGG
rnacentral:rRNA from 1 species